rnacentral:rRNA from 1 species
UACGUAGGGGGCAAGCGUUGUCCGGAAUCAUUGGGCGUAAAGCGCGUGUAGGCGGUUCGGUAAGUCGGCUGUGAAAGUCCAGGGCUCAACCCUGGGAUGCCGGUCGAUACUGCCGGACUAGAGUUCGGAAGAGGCGAGUGGAAUUCCCGGUGUAGCGGUGAAAUGCGCAGAUAUCGGGAGGAACACCAAUGGCGAAGGCAGCUCGCUGGGACGUUACUGACGCUAAGGCGCGAAAGCGUGGGGAGCAAACAGG